GCCGAGGUGGCGGAAUUUGGCAGACGCGGUAGGUUCAGGACCUACUGGCUUUUAAGCCGUAGGGGUUCAAAUCCCCUCCUCGGCAUCA
rnacentral:tRNA from 1 species